ACCCCUACGGGGGGCAGCAGUGGGGAAUCUUCCGCAAUGGGCGAAAGCCUGACGGAGCAACGCCGCGUGGGUGAAGAAGGCCUUCGGGUCGUAAAGCCCUGUCAAUCGGGACGAAGUUUACUUAUGCGAACAGUGUAAGUAAGUGACGGUACCGGAGGAGGAAGCCACGGCUAACUACGUGCCAGCAGCCGCGGUAA
rnacentral:rRNA from 1 species